rnacentral:lncRNA from 10 species
GCCCGGCUAAUUUUUUGUAUUUUUAGUAGAGACGGGGUUUCACCGUGUUAGCCAAGAUGGUCUCGAUCUCCUGACCUUGUGAUCCGCCCGCCUCGGCCUCCCAAAGUGCUGGGAUUACAGGCGUGAGCCACCGCGCCCAGCCUUCUCCGUGUAUUUUUAACAGCUUUAGUUUUUGUAUGUCAAUGAUGCUAUUUAGUUUAUUAGCAUUCACAGCAAUUACAUUUUCCUCUAUGAGUUUUAAUUUUACUCAAUGAAAGGUGAUUCUUUACAUUAUGUUUUACCAUAAAUUCUACUUUGUUUGAUAGAAAUAUUGUUAUCCCUAUUCAAUUUUUGCCCAUGUUGUAUAAAAUGUGUCUUUACAAAUGACGUAUACUUCACAGGUUCCAGGAAUUCCUUAGUGUUUCUGAUCCACUAAAGACUACUUCUCUGUUUUCUAGUGCUACUAAAAAGUUUUCCUUAUUUUUGUCUUUCUUCAGUCAAUUAUUAAAUCUGUAAUCUUUACAUUGUUUUUAUUAUAUAGAUCUUCACUUCCAUAAUUCUAAACUAUAAUAUCUUAAUUCUAUUUUUUUCUAGUUUUCUUCCACCUAUUACUGCCCUUACACCCUACAGUCUUAUUUCCUUGUGCUCAUUAUAACUAAGCAUAAUUUACAAUUCUCUAACUGGGAAAAAACCUGGAUACUUUAAGUAAUACAAGCAAUGUAUACCAUGGAAGACAAUGUACAAUUAUAAACAAAUGAAUAGUGAUAUUGCCAAGUGAUAAAAUUUAAUAUGAAAAGUACAAUGAAGUAGUAGUCAAACUUAAGCGAUAUAACAUUAGAAUACUUAUUUAUGCCUUGGAAUUCUACUGCAACACACAGAUGAGCAGCUUAUCUCUCCAUGUAUUCACCUAUUUAAAGGUCCACCCGAGUAAUUUAUUAAAUAAAGCCAAAAUAAAUUAACAGAGUAAGAUAAGAUGACGUGGUAGUGACAAUCAAUGAUUCAAAAAUUCAUUAAGGCCUACUCAAAAAAACUCUGCAGGCAUGCAGGUCUCCCAAAUUUUAUUGAUAGAAAGGAACUAAAAUAAGGUGCCAUUUGGAGCAUUGGAAUGAUGUAGGUGUUUAGCCAGUUCAAACAGGCUAACAGAACAAGUUUGAAAGUGUAAGAGACUUAGAAAAUUCAUUGUGGAAGUAAAAAACAGAACAUUCUUACAGUGUACAUGAGAAGGGAUUAAGAUAGUAACCAGUUGACAAAUACAUAUUUCUUUCUCAUAUUUCUCUGUCAAACAAUGUGUGGUACAGCACUGUAAUUUUUAUUUUUAUGCUUUUAUUUAUUAACAAGGAGAUGAAAAAGUAAGCUAUUUAAAGUGGAGAUGUUCUAAGUAUCUUUUUUUAAAAUAAAUUUUCAAUGGGAAUAGGACUAGUUUCUGCAAAAUUUAUCCUGAAAUUGAUAUGGAAAAAAUAGGCAUAAAAAUGUCUGGUAAAUAUAAUAUUGGAAAAAGGCAUUUAGCAUAAUAAGCAGGGAAAAUAAUUAGUUAAAAUAAAUGAACGUUCAAUGAGAAAUAUAUUUCCUUAAAAGUACUGGAAGCAAAGUAGUGGAAACACUGUGUAUUAGCCAGAGCACUAAGAAAACAUUUGAUACGAAACAAUACCUCAGGGAAUAAAUGUGAUGGGACAGCAGGCCCCAUACUGGUCUAAUGUCUAUAAUUCCAUCUAAAUGUCAGUAAUGGAAAAAAUGAGAAGAAGGAAGAAGAUUACAAACAACACAUGUGUCCGUCUGUCUUUCUGCAUGUAACUCUAUAGGGAUUCUCUAUUAGAAUUACAUAAUAGUGGAAUCUGGUCUAUGACAUGUAAGACAAAUUAUCCACAACCAUGACAUUUUCCAUGCUACAACUGUAGGUACAUAAGUAUAGUCCAGAAAUCAAAUUCUUAGUUUUGUCACCCUUGUAAAGCAGCAGGAACACUGGAAAUUUUCCCCCUUAUAUUUGGGAUCUACUUGAGAACCUCCCUUCACCCCACACAAAACCCGACUAAAGAAAUCAUUUCUUUUCCUUUCUUUUUAUUUACAAAGAAUUUUUCUCUCCAAAAUCUACAUUUGCCUACUUUUGGCUCUGUCAUCAAGUAGGGUGAUACAAAAUGUAUGCCAAGAAAAGUCUGAUUGUUUCAUUUUUUAUUUUUUUCUUACUUGUCUGACACAGUGACAGGAUCACAGAAUGUGAAUUUUGAACAGAUCUGAAAAGUUAUUAAGUUCAACUCCACAGAGGUUCCUAGGAGAAUGUUAACAGUCCAGACCUUUUUCACUACAUCAACCACGGAUGAUUGGCAUAUAAAAUCCUACUUAACCUUUACAUAACUGCAAUACCAGGAAACAAAUAUGUCAAUAAAAGGAAACAUCAUUCAA